CAGGGUUGAGCAAGUUCUCAUCAAUUUUAUUUGCUUACCCGUACCCGUCAGCAAUAUAAUGAAGCAAAACUAGGUUAUCAAACAUACUCUGGUUUACUUAAAGUUUCACCUUACAAGAGUUAGUUCAGGGUUUACAGUUUGAUAGUGUUUGUAUUAUACAAAACUUCUGCAACAAUCCAUGAUAAAACUCCACAACAAAACCUGUUUUUUAAGUUAGAUGUCUUAUUUUGUGAACCCUUGAUAACGCAAGAAUUUAUUGUUGUUCAUAAAAAAAUCCUGCAGGGAAAGUAACUAACUAUGUUGACUUUGCAUUCAGAAUAUCAAGUGCAUAUUUAAUGAAAAUGGAAGACAUUGGAAGAUCUUGUCUUAGCCACAGAGGGUGGAGUAUCUGCAAAUAUAUAGACAGUGAAUUUGAUUUGGAAAAUAUUACUACUGAUGCUGAGUUGCAGGAAAGAAAGUGCCUGACCAUAUUACCACAGUUUUGGCGGUCCAUCUUCUCCGAGCAAAGCCAUAGGCCAUGGACCUGCUGCUCUGCUCUAAUUUGGUAGCAGCCUGACAGUGGUGAGAGAGCAGGGGGGCGGGGCUACAUUACGGGAGAUCUGGACGGUUUGGAGUUAGAAUGCCCAAAUCCUAAAUUUCUAUUUAACCCCUUUGCUUUAUUUAUAUGUACUUUAUAGCUCCCAGAAAUAUGAGCUAUCUACCUUAACAUCAUCAGAGUAGAACUAAACAUAUUAUCGCAAUAUGGGCUAUUUACUAUCGUGCGACCUUUUGAUUCUAACAUCUGUGUUUGUGUUGUAUGCCAAUGUAUUGCUAUUGGUGAUUUUCUGAUCAUCUUGGUGUGCAACCGAACUAUCAGUUGUCUA